ACUAUCAAUCAAAUGACCUAAUAUUAUUGAUUUGAUUUUACAGAAGGAAUUCAGAAGAGUUUAUAGGAACUUGAUUGAAGAAAAGGAAAACUUCCAAGGCUUCAGUUUGACUGAGAGCUACCACAGCAGGAAGAACAAUGAUGUUGUAGAGAAAAUUAGUAAUGAAGCAAUAAGAUUACAUGGUGGCGAGGGACAAUGUUCUUGGACACGUGCCCAAUUACAAGCUGCUGGUGCAUGUUACUAUAAGUCAUUGAAAGAUGCUUUCAAGCGAAAGCAAAAGAGACAAGAUGGAAAACAUCGCCAAAUUUGCAGGAGACAGGGGCGAGUCAGAGAUGUAAGUAA